rnacentral:lncRNA from 1 species
AAAAAAUGUUACUGAAAGCCCGUGGAAGCACACUUCAGGAGUCCCGUUGAUAGAAGGUCAAAGAGAGCCCUGCUGUGCGCCAUCAGGCAAAUGAGAUAGCCUCUCUGAAUCAAGCAUCCAUCCUGAGCUAAAAGCAAAGACGCUUAUACCUAUAUUCCCCAGAUACUGUGAAGAGUACAUCAGAAACAGCAUCUGCAUAGUGCCUGGCAGAGGAUUGAUGCUUCUUAAUAUUUAGUAGCUGAGGAUGACGACGAUUUUUGUGUCAGGUGGAAAUUGUGCUAGCUUUGGGGGUUCAAAGAUGAAGAAAUUAAGAGGCCCUUCUCAUCAGGAGGUUGCAGUUUUCUGGAAGACCCUGACAAGUCAGCAGAUCACCUAGGGUGGGAGUGGAGGUGGAAAGUGGUUUGGGAGCUAGCCUCGAAGUCCGCAACCUGAGUUGAGCCCUCGCAAGCUAUUUACCUACUGUUUGACCUUAGCCAAAUCUCUGCUUCAAGUUUACCCAUCUGUGAAGGAGGAGGAGGGAAAAGUAGCACUAAAUAGAGACCUGAGAUCCCUUCCAGCACUAACUUUUCAGAAACUCCUCCUGAGCCUUCUCUCCUUCCGAAUUGACUCACACUUUUUCCUGUCUUUGGCAUACUCUUAACCAUCUCUUUUUAAAAUCCUGUCCAUCCUCACCCUAGAAGCCAUCUUUUCCAGGUAGCCGCCUCUGAUUUCUUGCUCUUCCUGGGCCAAGUGUUUUCUCUGAGCUAUGACACUUUGUUUCACUUUUGAGACAUGACAUUUAUGUUGUCUGUCUUCCUUUAAUGAUAGCAGAAAUCCUUUAUUUAAACUGUGAAUAACUCCACACGAUCUCACCACAUCUCAGACUGGACCAAGCUUCCACAGCUGCAGCGAUUUCUUUCACACCAUUGUAUCAGUCAGGCUCCUGGCAUGAAAAAAAAAAAAAAAAUUGGCACUUUACAAAGAAGCAUGCAGGGUGUGGGAAACCACAG